rnacentral:rRNA from 1 species
GUCGCACGGGGGCUUCGGCUCUAGUGGCGGACGGGUGAGUAACGCGUAGGAACGUGUCCUGGGAUGGGGGAUAACGCUGGGAAACUGGCGCUAAUACCGCAUGUCUGCUGAGGCAGAAAGCCUUUGGGUGUCUUGGGAGCGGCCUGCGUCCGAUUAGCUAGUUGGUGGGGUAAAGGCUUACCAAGGCGACGAUCGGUAGCUGGUCUGAGAGGACGAUCAGCCACACUGGGACUGAGACACGGCCCAGACUCCUACGGGAGGCAGCAGUGGGGAAUAUUGGACAAUGGGCGGAAGCCUGAUCCAGCAAUUCCGCGUGGGUGAAGAAGGUCUUCGGAUUGUAAAGCCCUUUCGGCGGGGACGAUGAUGACGGUACCCGCAGAAAAAGCCCCGGCUAACUUCGUGCCAGCAGCCGCGGUAAUACGAAGGGGGCUAGCGUUGCUCGGAAUUACUGGGCGUAAAGGGCGCGUAGGCGGCGCAGUUAGUCAGGCGUGAAAUUCCUGGGCUUAACCUGGGGACUGCGCUUGAUACGGCUGUGCUAGAGGGUGGAAGAGGCUCGCGGAAUUCCCAGUGUAGAGGUGAGAUUCGUAGAUAUU